GACGAACGCUGGCGGCGUGCUUAACACAUGCAAGUCGAGCGGAAAGGCCCUGCUUUUGUGGGGUGCUCGAGUGGCGAACGGGUGAGUAACACGUGAGUAACCUGCCCUUGACUUUGGGAUAACUUCAGGAAACUGGGGCUAAUACCGGAUAGGAGCUCCUGCUGCAUGGGGGGGGUUGGAAAGUGUCGGCGGUUGGGGAUGGACUCGCGGCUUAUCAGCUUGUUGGUGGGGUAGUGGCUUACAAAGGCUUUGACGGGUAGCCGGCCUGAGAGGGUGACCGGCCACAUUGGGACUGAGAUACGGCCCAGACUCCUACGGGAGGCAGCAGUGGGGAAUAUUGCACAAUGGGCGGAAGCCUGAUGCAGAAACGCCGCGUGCGGGAUGACGGCCUUCGGGUUGUAAACCGCUUUCGCCUGUGACGAAGCGUGAGUGACGGUAAUGGGUAAAGAAGCAACGGCUAACUACGUG
rnacentral:rRNA from 1 species